UUUGAAGAAGCUCCUGUGGAUGAAGAACUAUGAUGCCUUUGGCAAGAUUCUAGAAGACCUGUCAAAUAUGUAUCAAAUUCCAGGAAACAGCAAAAUGAAAGCUAAGGGAUAUCUUGCUUUGCAGG